CGUGUAGGCGGACUCGCAAGUCGGUUGUGAAAUCCCUGGGCUCAACCUAGGAACUGCAUCCGAAACUGCUUGUCUUGAGUAAUGGAGAGGGUGGCGGAAUUCCCGGUGUAGAGGUGAAAUUCGUAGAUAUCGGGAGGAACAUCAGUGGCGAAGGCGGCCACCUGGACAUUUACUGACGCUGAGACGCGAAAGCGUGGGGAGCGAACAGGAUUAGAUACCCUGGUAGUCC
rnacentral:rRNA from 1 species